rnacentral:rRNA from 1 species
CUCAAAGAUUAAGCCAUGCAAGUGGUUAUAUUAACCCGACAGUUUAAAUAAGUGUUAAAAUGCUACUAAUUUUAAACAAUACACGCAAUUUUUUUGUUUACAGUAGUAACAAAAAUAAAAGCGUGAUUCACUCAUAGUGAUUCACUAUUUUAUUUAUUUAAAUAGUAUCACUUACGCAACUGCGGACAGCUGCUUAAUACAGUCACACUUGUCUUGACUUGGCGCAAUAAAAAAUGUUAACGCAUAAUUUUUUUAAACGCACAAAUUUUUUUUUACACACACACACAUUAAUUUUUGUGCGCGAAAAAAAUUGUUACAUUUUUUUUUUUAAAAAAAUUUUUUUUUUGCUGUGUAUUUUUAUACGUCGCAUAAAAUUUUUUUUUAAUAGAUUUCUCUGUAACGUUUAUUCUCAAAGACUAUUAUUACGUUACACCGUGAAAAUUUCUUUUUGGAUAACUCAGGGAAAGUUUGGCUAAUACGUACGAGUAUAAUUUAAUACACACACACACACAUCUUUUAUACUACUCAGCACAUAUUGGUAAAUUUUGGCUCAUUCGUGAGUCAGUUUAAAAUUUAACUGCAACAUGAGAGACAAUAUGUACGCACGUAUGAAAUACUUCGGUAUUUUAUACACUACGCUGAGCAGACUUUGCGAAGUUUACUUUGCGAAGCAGGUCAUACAAGCAUCUACAGCAUCAAGUCACAGGGUUGGCAAGUGUAUUUUUGAACCUUCAAAGCAGUCACGCAUACGGAAGAGUAGUUUCUGAUCCCAUAGAAGGAGCACCGUACAUUGAGAGACCGCUCUUAGUUCUAAGGAACGCAGCAGGCGCGUAAAUUGCCCAAUGCUAGUACCCUACAAUAUAUUUUAUAUUAUAUUAUUACAAGCAUUAUUAAACAAUUUACACAUAAAAACAUAAAAUUUUUUAAUUUUAGCCUAACAUUAUAACACUUUCAAUUUUUACUGUUUAAAAUUAAAUUAUCCUUGUUUACUGUGUACACAUUAUUUAAUAUAUAUACAAAUAUAUUAUUUACUGAGGCAGUGACAAGCUGUAACGGUUGAGUAUAAAAAUGACGAGUGUCUGGCAUAGCCGUCUGCUUCGGUAGGCUUGGCUGUUCGCCGACGCUUUGUGUGCUCAAUUGGAAUGCGGUGAGUUUAAGCAACUCAGAACCUUUGUAUGGUGUUUGUAAAAUUUCACUAUGCAUGUAUCUGAAUUUCAAGUGGAGGGCAAGUCUGGUGCCAGCAGCCGCGGUAAUACCAGCUCCACUGGCCUAUACAAUCAUUGUUGCGGUUAAGAGGCUCGUAGUUGGAUUGAACUGCAAAACAAUUUAAAAAAAAUUAAAUUUUAUUAUUUAAUUUUUUGUUUAGCAUGUUUUACGCAUAAAAUUUUUUUUUAAAAUUUUUAUUGCGUUCGACGUCUGUUAAAUAAAAAAAUUUAUGCAUAGCAUAUUUUUUUCACACACACAAAUAAUUUAUGCUAUAUAUAUAAAUUUUUACACUAAUUUACUGCGUAAAAAAUAUAUUUUUUUUAAUAAUGAUUUAAUUUUUACAAUUUUCAACACUGUGAACAAAUCAGAGUGUAUCAAACAUGUCGUUUUUGAAUGUGCAUUGAAUGUCUUAUCAUGGAAUGUUGCACUUUCGCUUUAAAAAAUUUAUCGUACGUAAAAAUUUAAUUUUUACCGCUGCGAAGUCAUGCUUUUAAUACACACGCAAAAAAAAAAUUAUUACGCGUGUAAAUUUCUUAACAGUUAAAAAUGUCGAUGGGGAUAGUUGGAGUCAAGAGUACUGUUGGGCGAGAGGUGAAAUUCAUUGACCCUAGCAAGACUACCAAAAGCGAAAGCACUUGGCUAGGCUAUACUCUUUGUGAUUAUUUAUAUAAUAAAUAUAUCGCGUAAUUAUUCAUUUACACACACACACACAAAUUUUUUUUACGCGUAUAUAAAUAUAUAUAAAUUAAUACACUUUACAAUGAAGAACGAAGGUUGGGGGAUCAAAGAGGAUCAGAUACCCUCGUCGUCCCAUUAAUUACAUCAAACGAUGGGCUCUCAAUUGCAUUUAUUUAUUAAAUUGCUAAUGCCCUCAGCCUACAAAAUAACUUGGCUUGAGCUCGUAAUUUUAUUAUUACGCUCGCCUAAUUUUUUUCGUACGGUCUCGAUGGACGUUUCAUUUAAACUUUUUUUUGCGUGUAAGCAUAUGUUAUUCUUUGAAACAUAAGAAUGCAUGGCGUGCACUUGAUUUUCGGAGCUUUGCGCUCAAUUCUGGUGAGAUGUAAGCACUGUGUCAUACUGCCCGCAACUUUUAUCUUCGGAUAAUUUGUUUGUCGUGUGCAGUUGACAAAUUUUGGUGUGAAGCACGCUUUAGGCACGCGCUUACUGCAGAAAUGUCUGAGACAUUCCCUUCCGGGGGUAGUAUGCACGCAAGUGUGAAACUUGAAGGAAUUGACGGAAGGGCACCACAAGAACGCGUGGAGCAUGUGGCUUAAUUUGACUCAACGCGGGAAAUCUUACCGGGUCCGGACACACUGAGGAUUGACAGGCAAUAUUGAAAUUAUUGCAUUUAUGCAAUAUUUCAUGUUAAAUAUGCUAGUCCUUUCAUGAUUAUGUGAUAGGUGGUGCAUGGCCGUUCUUAGUUCGUGGAGUGAUCUGUCUGCUUAAUUGCGUUUCACUAAGGGCUUAUUAAUUACGUGUGUUGUAGGUACUUUGACCCCUAUGUUGAAAUAUUACAUAGUGCGUGUCUUAGUUUGCUUUUACUCACACAAUUAAGUCCUGAAAGCAACGAACGUGACCGCAACCUCUUGUUGCCUUUAUUUUAUAAUGUAUUUUGUUAAUAUUUAUAUUGCAAGUGCAUGAAAAAAGGCUUUUUAAACUAGAGGGACCGCUGUAACUUUUUUAAACCAGAGGAAGGUUGCGGCAAUAACAGGUCUGUGAUGCCCUUAGAUGUUCCGGGCUGCACACGUGCUACAAUGAUUAUUGCAGUGAGCAUCUCAUUUUAUUACACCGCCUGCGCGUGUCCAAUUAUUUGCAUACUUAUGUGUGUACUUUAAUUGUGUUACAUUGCGCGCGGUAAAGCCUGCUUCGAAAGUAAGUGGGUAAUCAAUUAGAAGUAAUGAUUUCCCUAUUUAUAGCACACAUAUAUGCGGCAUCUUUACCCGGGUUAAGCUUGUCUUAACUUUUGUGUGUAUCGAUGUUUUUUCCGCAUGUGCAAUUGUCAAUUCAUGGUGGGGACAGACCAUUGUUAAUUGUUGGUCUCGGUCUUAACUAGGAAUGCCUUGUACGGGUCUUUGGUUCAACAAACCACCCGGAAUACGUCCCUGCCCUUUGUACACACCGCCCGUCGCUCUUACCGAUGGACUUCUCUGUGAGUUUGAGGGACUGGAUACUGUAAUAAUUUAUUAUUACUAACCAUCUAUGGAAACUUAAACGAACAGUGUGGUCUAAAGGAAAGAGAAGUCGUAACAAGGCAUCGGUAGGUGAACCU